CCGACGAUCGCAGUAAAAGUAUCGCGCCAUGGACAGUGACUGCCCGAGUCAGUUCCAUAUUUAUUUAGUUGCAUUCCCCAUAUAUCAUCUUUUGUAUUUGAUGAUAUUAGUAUUAUAAAUGUAACAAAUGAUGUAAAAGUUUAUAUUUUGAAAAAUCAUGUGAUGUAAAAGAAAUGAUGAAAAGAAUGUAAAUGUAAAGGUUGAAUGCAUGUAUGUGGUUAAAAGUUAAUCAUUAUACUUGUAUGGAUG
rnacentral:lncRNA from 1 species